AGCGAACGUUAGCGGCGCGCCUAACACAUGCAAGUCGCACGAGAAACGGAGCAAUCCGCGGUACAGUGGCGCACGGGUAAGUAACACGUGGAUGACCUUCCCUGGAGUGGUGGAUAACCUGCCGAAAGGCGGGCUAAUACAGCAUGGGACCACGACGCUUUGGCGAUGUGGUGAAAGCGGGCCUCUAUAUAUAAGCUCGCGCUCCGGGACGGGUCCGCGUCCCAUCAGCUAGUUGGUGAGGUAACGGCUCACCAAGGCAACGACGGGUAGCUGGUCUGAGAGGAUGGCCAGCCACACUGGAACUGAGACACGGUCCAGACUCCUACGGGAGGCAGCAGUGGGGAAUCUUGCGCAAUGGGCGAAAGCCUGACGCAGCCACGCCGCGUGAGCGAUGAA
rnacentral:rRNA from 1 species